rnacentral:rRNA from 1 species
GUGCCUUCGGGAACUCUGAGACAGGUGCUGCAUGGCUGUCGUCAGCUCGUGUUGUGAAAUGUUGGGUUAAGUCCCGCAACGAGCGCAACCCUUAUCCUUUGUUGCCAGCGAUUCGGUCGGGAACUCAAAGGAGACUGCCGGUGAUAAACCGGAGGAAGGUGGGGAUGACGUCAAGUCAUCAUGGCCCUUACGAGUAGGGCUACACACGUGCUACAAUGGCGUAUACAAAGAGAAGCGACCUCGCGAGAGCAAGCGGAACUCAUAAAGUACGUCGUAGUCCGGAUUGGAGUCUGCAACUCGACUCCAUGAAGUCGGAAUCGCUAGUAAUCGUAGAUCAGAAUGCUACGGUGAAUACGUUCCCGGGCCUUGUACACACCGCCCGUCACACCAUGGGAGUGGGUUGCAAAAGAAGUAGGUAGCUUAACCUUCGGGAGGGCGCUUACCACUUUGUGAUCCAUGACUGGGGUGAAGUCGUAACAAGGUAACCGUAGGGGAACCUGCGGUUGGAUCACCUCCUUA